rnacentral:rRNA from 1 species
UACGAGGGGGGCAAGCGUUGUUCGGAAUUAUUGGGCGUAAAGGGUGCGUAGGCGGGUUGGUAAGUCCGUGGUGAAAUCUCCAAGCUUAACUUGGAAACUGCCGUGGAUACUAUCAAUCUUGAAUAUCGUGGAGGUAAGCGGAAUAUGUCAUGUAGCGGUGAAAUGCUUAGAUAUGACAUAGAACACCAAUUGCGUAGGCAGCUUACUACACGAUCAUUGACGCUGAGGCACGAAAGCGUGGGGAGCAAACAGG